rnacentral:rRNA from 2 species
UAGGGAAUCUUCGGCAAUGGACGAAAGUCUGACCGAGCAACGCCGCGUGAGUGAAGAAGGUUUUCGGAUCGUAAAACUCUGUUGUUAGAGAAGAACAAGGACGUUAGUAACUGAACGUCCCCUGACGGUAUCUAACCAGAAAGCCACGGCUAACUACGUGCCAGCAGCCGCGGUAAUACGUAGGUGGCAAGCGUUGUCCGGAUUUAUUGGGCGUAAAGUGAGCGCAGGCGGUUUCUUAAGUCUGAUGUGAAAGCCCCCGGCUCAACCGGGGAGGGUCAUUGGAAACUGGGAGACUUGAGUGCAGAAGAGGAGAGUGGAAUUCCAUGUGUAGCGGUGAAAUGCGUAGAUAUAUGGAGGAACACCAGUGGCGAAGGCGGCUCUCUGGUCUGUAACUGACGCUGAGGCUCGAAAGCGUGGGGAGCAAACAGG